rnacentral:lncRNA from 1 species
CAGCUCCUGCUCAGACCCGAGAAGGCCCCUGUGAAUAACACUCGCUGAUAAGUGGAGGGAAGUGACAAGUGCAACCUCUGUGAGCAAAUAAAGAGAAUCUCAUCGGCAUCUGUGACUCUGAGCCUCCAGUGACCCAAACAAACUGGAAAUGUUCACAAUACCCUAAUAGCAGGAAUGCCUCGACAGUGGACCCGGAACUAGGAAGUCUGCCCUAGUACUGGAGGGAACAGGAGUCACCCUUCAGAGCAAGCCUGUCCUCCGGCUGAGCCUUCCCAGCCGGCAGAACUAAGUGAGGAAAUGAGCCCUACGAUUUUCAAUAUGCCUCUCCGAGAGAAGACUGAGAAAAGCAAUUAGAAGUUUCCGGAAUGGCCUGGAGAAGAGCCUGUUCCCGCUGACCUGUGUCACCGACCUGAGUGCAGACUUCCUGGAGGUCACCACCACCCACCUGGAGAGGGGUGGCCGGCUCCCCCAUCGCCGGGACUGACAUGUCUGUGGGCUUGUUUUGUGUUUCUGACCUCAGUCUCUUUAUCUGCAAAAUGUAUCGACUGGACCAAAUGACGUCUUGAGCGGAGGUGAUUUCAAAGAGCUCGAAUCUUCCUCUCUCCUGCCACCCUCCCCUCCUCAGCAGCCUGCUCAGGCCUCCAAGCCCAUUAGCACA